AGUGAACGCUGGCGGCAGGCCUAACACAUGCAAGUCGAACGGCAGCACAGUAAGAGCUCGCCCUUACGGGUGGCGAGUGGCGGACGGGUGAGGAAUACAUCGGAAUCUACUUUUUCGUGGGGGACAACGUAGGGAAACUUACGCUAAUACCGCAUACGACCUACGGGUGAAAGCAGGGGAUCUUCGGACCUUGCGCGAUUGAAUGAGCCGAUGUCGGAUUAGCUAGUUGGCGGGGUAAAGGCCCACCAAGGCGACGAUCCGUAGCUGGUCUGAGAGGAUGAUCGGCCACACUGGAACUGAGACACGGUCCAGACUCCUACGGGAGGCAGCAGUGGGGAAUAUUGGGCAAUGGGCGCAAGCCUGAUCCAGCCAUGCCGCGUGGGUGAAGAAGGCCUUCGGGUUGUAAAGCCCUUUUGUUGGGAAAGAAAAGCAGCAGGUUAAUACCCCGCUGUUCUGACGGUACCCAAAGAAUAAGCACCGGCUAACUUCGUG
rnacentral:rRNA from 1 species